CUCCUCCAAGUUUGGUGUUGUCAGCAAAUUUGCUCAAAACACCUUCUAGUCCUCCAUCCAAAACAUUUAUAAAAUCAUUGAAGAGGACUGGCCCUAAAAUGGAGCCUUGAGGGACCCCCCUAGUGACCAUCUGCCAGCCAGAUGUGGCCCCAUUUACCACAACCCUUUGAGCCCUGCUCGUCAGCCAAUUAAUUAGGUAAUUAGGCUCCCAUUAGCAGGUAAUUAGGCUCCCAUUAGCAGUGUGCACACCACUGGCUGAUUGGAUGACAGGUACCUUGUAAUUGCUCUGAAUAAAGGACAAGUUCAAGCCUAGCCUUGCCUUCUGAGACCAGAGACUCCUUCAGUAUGCCCUACUGGCAGAGCCAUAUAUGUUGGAGCUUGUUCUUGAGAGAAGUGGGGAAGCUGAACAUGGCGAACCCAGCAGGCAUCAUUGUGUCUCCUUUGUACCACUCAGCAGCUUUCUGCAACACAGAGACAAGAAAUGGGAGAGGAACUGGUAUAUGGCCAGGGCAUUGCAAGGACCUACUAGAACAAGCAGUUGUGUACUCAAAGGUCAACAGAGGAACAUGAUGUCCAAGAGCUGGGUACAAGACACAAGGCUGGAAGUUCAGAAGUUUAUCAGGAAAGACAUUGCAUUGGGAACUGACUCCUAAAUGUAUUUGUGCAUUAUAUUAACCAGUCAUUCAGUAAAAUAUUGAAAUAGUCAUUUCAGAUAAGGACUCCAGAAGAAAUCUCUCUCUCAGGAGCUGGAUUUCAGGAGAAGGCUAAGGACAGUGAUCCCUCACCAAGAAAAUGAAAGCCUCUCUCCAGGGGUAUGAGAGGUGCUGCUGUAGCUCCAAAAAGGGUUUAAAUGUAAGAUAGCAGCAUGUUCAGUACUGCCUACAGAGUAGCAUAGAGCUGUCUGCUAAUCUCUGGCAAUAUCUCAGCAUUUGUCAGAGUCAUGAUUUAUUGAGCAGUGAGAGUGUUCCUCACCUUGCAAGAUCAGGUCCCUAGAUUGUAACACAUUUUCUUGUUCACCAAAAAGGCUCAUCCACAACAAAGAAAUUAAAGAAACAGAGAGAAUUAUUCAGUGACACCAGAAACAAUGAAGGAAAAACUAUGUGUAAGCCUUGGCAAAACAUCUCUAAACAGCACUUUGAGCUUGCAGCACAGCCCAGCCGUAUUUCAGAGCCAAAGAGAAGAUUUUUUUUUUGUACUAAUGUGCAUCAGGCUGAGACUGGGACCCAGAAAUUGCUGCAAAUACUCAGCUCCUGAAGGCUGUAUAAACCCAGUGGGAUCCUGCUGUGCUUGAGAGGAGAGAGGGCUGAAAUCUAAGUAAUGGCCAAAGUCCAGAUUUUGAAAGAAAAAGGAUUAAUGAAGCCUGCUAUAGUAGUGUACCUGGGAUAACAUCAUAAUUAGAGAUUAAUAACAACCACUUCAUAAAGUCUGACACUUUUCUGUUCCUUAGUACCAUUGCUGUAUCGAGUGAGUUUUUGAUGCCUUAGAAUAAAAGUGUAUGUCAGAGUGAACUAGAACA
rnacentral:lncRNA from 1 species